CCCGCCGGCUGCCGCCGCCGGUCCGCCUACGUCCAGACUCCGCCCGGUUGUCCGAGUUGCGCAAUCCGUAGCCGGGGAAGCGCUACGUGGAGACCGGUCUAAGUGGAUGCCGAGCCCUGAAGCUGGGGAACUAGAGGGCGGAUCUUGACUAGGAUGCUGGACGUUCCUCAUGGGAAACCUGAGGAGGAUGCUAAAAAAUCAGCCACGGUUUACCUACUACCUGCUGCCAAGUUUCUUGAGGGCCCUGCUGUUGGGGGGCUGUGGCUGAGUUUUUAAGCAAGAGCAAGUUUCACAGCACAACACACCUCUCCUAUCCACAGAGGCUCAGAUAUGGUAAGUACUUAUGUUUGAUUUACCCUCAUUCCAUUUUGUAUGCUUACAGUCACUCUCUGGAAGGCCCAUUUCAGGCUUACGUGCCU